rnacentral:lncRNA from 1 species
UAUGGUAAGGGAUUGAUUUUGGGGGUUCUAUGGUUCAAUGCAAAUUAUAAGUUUGUGAUAAUCUCAAGUCUAACAUGAACCACUAAUGAAUGCUAGGUCAUUGGUAUUAUACUUUAACUUGAUUUAACGACUCAAAUAAUGACUUCAAUACUCUGCGACAAUUUGCAACAGACGAGACAUAUCUUUGUGUUAACAGUUUAUUUUAUAUUUUUCUUCCAAUUUUGAUGUGUUUUUUUUAAUCUCAGUUCU